AGUGAACGCUGGCGGUAGGCCUAACACAUGCAAGUCGAACGGCAGCACAGGAGAGCUUGCUCUCUGGGUGGCGAGUGGCGGACGGGUGAGGAAUACAUCGGAAUCUACUCUGUCGUGGGGGAUAACGUAGGGAAACUUACGCUAAUACCGCAUACGACCUACGGGUGAAAGCAGGGGACCUUCGGGCCUUGCGCGAUUGAAUGAGCCGAUGUCGGAUUAGCUAGUUGGCGGGGUAAAGGCCCACCAAGGCGACGAUCCGUAGCUGGUCUGAGAGGAUGAUCAGCCACACUGGAACUGAGACACGGUCCAGACUCCUACGGGAGGCAGCAGUGGGGAAUAUUGGACAAUGGGCGCAAGCCUGAUCCAGCCAUACCGCGUGGGUGAAGAAGGCCUUCGGGUUGUAAAGCCCUUUUGUUGGGAAAGAAAUCCAGCUGGCUAAUACCCGGUUGGGAUGACGGUACCCAAAGAAUAAGCACCGGCUAACUUCGUGCCAGCCGCCGCGGUAA
rnacentral:rRNA from 1 species